rnacentral:SRP_RNA from 9 species
GUCGAGCUCAGUUACGAGAGCUUGUAACCCGAAUGGGGGCAUUAAAGUGAUGUGGACGCUGUUGUAGCGCUGCGCGCCUGGUUUGGGUGUGCUAGUGCUGGCCCGCCCGUUUCAAGUUGCGUAGUGGACCUGCUGGGGCCUCACGGUCCAUAAUGUGGCAGGCACAGCGUGAGGUUGGCUUCACAGAGCAGCGACAACUUCCCGCUCGAACCAUCACUUUUUUCUUUGUGUUGUGUAUAACAGUAUUUUUUUUUU